ensembl:lncRNA
CUAAUUGUUCCAUAGUUUCUAUUGUCCUUUUCUGCCCUCCUUCAAGAAUUUAACUUUCAUUUUCACUUGCCUCCCCUGGAUCACUUUGUGAAGAUCAGGCCCUUGGUUUUUUGGGUGAAUCCUGACCACAUCUGCUACCGGCCUGCCUUCAAAUCUCCAAGGAGACAGGGCUGUUCCGUUGGUGUAUGAAGGAGUGAGACCUGAACCUUGAAAGAGCCAAAAAUGGUUUCCAAGACACUGAAGCAUGCAUUCCGAGUUCCAGAUCUGACUGGGAUGUUGCAAGUUCUUAAAGGUGAUAAGAGCCAGGGGAAUGAUGUGGGUGUGGGAUUCUUGUAGUGUAAGAGUGAAAUAUGGAGGAGUGGAUGUUGUUUCUAGAAGUGGGUGAAAGAGAAGUCGGACCGAGAAGAAAGAGAGCCAUCCUGUGCUGAAGAUGUGAUCAGAUGUAGUAGAGAAUGUCCAGGUUUCUGCUUCGUCUUCUCAUUUUCAAGUUCAUAGCCUCACAGGGCUCCACUUCCCUGGACCCCCUCUAGAAAGAGGAUAGGUAUCAGUGUUUACUCCUUUGGUUCUGACAACAUCAUUGCAAGUUUUGUCUUUUCAGAGCUGACAGAGGGCCAAUGCUACUGAGAUAAGAAUAAAUUUAGGUCUUCAAAUCUCCAUGUUCCGAUCCCUUUUCAGAAGUUGUGGUUACUAAUAGGCCUCAUGAUCUUAGCUUCAUGCAUUCUUCUCCAAACAUACAUAGUACAACAAUCCUUAAGUGUCCUACUCAUCUCUGACCCCUGAACACUAGUUCCUCCUACUCAGCUCCCAGCAUUCAUCCUCCCAAUGUCAAAAGACAUACCCAUUUUCCAUCCCUCACCUGACCCUGUAAUUUUUCCUACAGCCAAUGUGAUGCUAAAUCCGGUCAAUGCUCUUUGAAGUAUUGUCCUAUCUGUGGAUCAGACAAGUCAGAGUUGUGCACACUUUUACAUUGAGGAAUAUAUAUCCAUGUGAUAUUUCUGCAUUUGACAUCUUGGACUGCUAGUGUUUCUCCUCGGGGAAAUAUUGCUGGAAAGAUUGCCUGCGUCGUGAGGGUAUACCAUAAAGCAAGAAACCUCAGUAGAUAUUAGAUCUCUCGGUUUGGUUUUGACCCAAAUGUAAAUUAGACAAAUGUUUAAUCCAGAUACAGACUCUAUAUGGCUACUGGGUUAUAGGGUUACAGAUUUAAUUUGGGUACAAUGUCUUUGUGGACUCUUCCACCUCAGACCUCAAGGUCUUGACUAGUUCCAUAGCUGUUCUUCCCCAUCAGGUUAGGGUUUUCCCAGACGAUGAAGCAGAAAUUGUCUCAUGAUUUUUUUUUUGUUUUGAGGAAGAUUUGCCCUGAGCUAACAUCUGCCAGCAAUCUUCCUCUUUAAUGAGGAAGAUUGGCCCUGAGCCAACAUCUGUUUUCAUCUUCUUCCACCUUACAUGUAAGAUGCAUGCCACAGCAUGGCCUAACAAGGAAUGCACAGGUCUGCACCCCAGAUCUGAGUCAGUGAACCUCACACCACAGAAGUGGAGAAUGCCAACACAAGCACUAUGCCACCAGGCUGGUUCCCUAGACAUUGUUUAAUUUUUCCAUGUCACAAACCAUGGGUCACUCAUCUAGUCCUCUAAAUGUCACUUUUAUCAGAUUGCUUAUCCAUUAUUUCAAUACUUGGAACUUUCCAGCUCCCGUCACUUGGUUCAAACACAGCAUCUGAAACUUCGUCUUCUCUCAUUUGCUUCUUGUAGUGCCCCUUGCCCCGGGUUUCAUCUCUACACCUGAACUCAGCUCCACCAUUUCUACCAUAUCUUCUUUCGUGUCUCCGUUCUUUACUAUAGAACUUUUACACAUCCUUGGGAUGUAAGAGUGUCUGUUUUGAGUUAGGAGAGAUGCUUAUUUACCAUUUAUCCUUUUGUAUAGUCUCAAAGAAAGGUGUCUACUCCCUUAAGAUGGUACAGUAUUGAUAUAACGUGUUGGCCCUACCAUUUCUCCAUAUUUCCCUUUAUCACUGAUCUGAAGAGACAUGGCAAAGCCUGUCUGCCUCCACCCUUGCUAUCUACAACAGUCCAUAAACACCCUCCACCCAUCAUCACCAACUAAGGAGUCUUUGACUGUAUGUCCAUAAGGUGCCCAGGAUACAUGGGAUUAAUCAGGGAGUCAAGGAAAGGAAAAUGUAAACAAUAUAAGUAUGCAGAGUGAAGAUUUUAUGUACAGACUGUUUGAGUUCAAAUCCUGUCUCUUGUUUUACAAGAUGUAUAAUGAUGAAUAAAUUCAGGGUUCCCUUUUCCUAAAAUACAAAUUGGAAUUCAUAACUAUACUUAACUCUUAGAUCCUUGUGUAAAACUCAGUGCCACUCAAUGUAAGGAAGCUAUUUAAGUUCCCUGCAUGGUAAAAUAAAUACUUUCUCUGAUGAUUACUGAAAAGUACACGCUGUGUCAAUAUCCCCUGCCACAGACUUGUGUUCUUCAGAGGAACCAUAGUUGAUUCUACUGAAAUCUCAUUUCUCAAGUUUCUGGACUCCACGGUCAAGACCACUCCAGUUCCAGUCUUCUUCUAUAGAACUUUUUACACCAAGGCUGGGAUGGUUUUUAAGGCAUUUCAUUGGAAACAGGUCUGAAAACUGCUAGAUCAGGGGCUUCCCAAAAUCUGUCCAGCAGAAGGAGCCAUAUCUAGGGACAGCUACUUUUAUAAGGGACAGGCUUCUGAUGUUCAGUCUGUUUCCCUGUGGUAAAACACAUGAGUAUACACCAUGUAGAAAAUCUUAUGCACUAUUCUUCUCUUUUUUAACCAGCUUCAAAUGAGCAUGAGGGAUAGACUUACCCAGGAUAGCAAAGCUACACAUUUUCUUAGAGGAUAUGCAUUAUAAACUAGGGAAGCCUGCUGCCCAGCACCCACAUCAAGGUAUAGAAGCGUAAUAACCUGACCCAGUGGAAUAAAAUAGAAAAUACUUGGUCUGGGAAUGGUAUACACACUCAUGCACACACACAUACAUAAGUAUAUAUAUAUAUAAUUGUCUAUAUAAAUAUAUAUAUACACAUAGGAUAUCAUUAUCACAGUUAACCUCAUAAUUGUCAAGUGAAGAAGGGAUUCCUAUCAGGUAGUUGAAAGAAUAGAUAAACUUAUGAGAUAUUUCCCAUGGUCCCACAGUUAAAGAGUGGACAAGGCAGGAUUAGAACUAGAUCUGGGUUCCUCAAGUACACGUGCCCUUGCUGUAGUAUACUCCCCAAAGAAAUGUAGAAACCAGAUUCCCUAUGAUGUAGGGUAGGAGGAAGAAUGCAGGGGAUCCAGAUCUGCAGAAGUUGCUGGGGGCAUCAUAGGAAAAUCUCAGAUGACAGGAAAUAGAAUGUUUGUAGUAGCCUCCUCAUUCCUAGCACAUAAGCACUGAUCCAGAUUAAUGUUGAUUAAACUUUUUCUGUGAAUUGCAAUAAUUAAUUUAAGAAGAAAUUAAUCCUCUUUAUAUAUUACUACCUUUGCUGAUCUUUGAAACAGACUAGCCUGAUUAAAGAAUCACAGAUUAUUUCUUAAUUUCAUAUUUUUG